AACGGCUUGAGAGAGCUUUCUUCAGUCCACUCAUGGAUGGGCUAAGGUGUUGAAUUAGCUGCCGACUCAUUCAUUCAAACACUCAGUAGAAAGGGGAUAUUUUUUACUACUGUGAAUGUGUGAAUGAUGCGGGAGAUAAUUGCCAUUCUUCCUCCUCUAUGCUUGGACUGAAGGGAGCUCCCUUUUUCUGUUUC
rfam:Nelumbo nucifera unplaced genomic scaffold scaffold00131, whole genome shotgun sequence